GAGUGUGUGGUGUACUGGUUGCACAACUGCUUCCAAACCAGUUAGGAGUGGGUUCGAAUCCUACCGCACUCGCCA
rnacentral:tRNA from 1 species